GACGAACGCUGGCGGCGUGCUUAACACAUGCAAGUCGAACGGAAAGGCCCUGCUUUUGUGGGGUGCUCGAGUGGCGAACGGGUGAGUAACACGUGAGUAACCUGCCCUUGACUUUGGGAUAACUUCAGGAAACUGGGGCUAAUACCGGAUAGGAGCUCCUGCUGCAUGGUGGGGGUUGGAAAGUUUCGGCGGUUGGGGAUGGACUCGCGGCUUAUCAGCUUGUUGGUGGGGUAGUGGCUUACCAAGGCUUUGACGGGUAGCCGGCCUGAGAGGGUGACCGGCGACGUUGGGUGUGAGUUGCGGCCCAGACUGCUACGGGCGGCAGCAGUGGGGAAUGUUGCACAAUGGGCGGGAGGCUGAUGCGGCGUCGCCGCGUGCGGGAUGACGGCGUGCGAGUUGUGAACCGCAUUAACCUGAGACGAAGCGUGAGUGACGUUAAGGGGUAAAGAAGCACCGGAUAACUACGUG
rnacentral:rRNA from 1 species